rnacentral:rRNA from 1 species
CCUACGGGUGGCAGCAGUGAGGAAUAUUGGUCAAUGGACGAGAGUCUGAACCAGCCAAGUAGCGUGAAGGAUGACUGCCCUAUGAGUUGUAACCUCCUUUUAUAAAGGAGUAAAACGCGGCAUGUGUGCCUUUAUGCAUGUCCUAUAUGGAUACGGAUCGGCUAACUCCGUGCCAGCAGCCGCGGUAAUACGGAGGCUCCGAGCGUUAUCCGGAUUUAUUGGGUUUAAAGGGUGCGUAGAGGGGUUGUCAAGGCAGUUGUGAAAGUUUGCGGCUCAACCGUAAAAUUGCAAUUGAUACUGGGAGUCUUGAGUAUAGUUGAGGUAGGCGGAAUUCGUGGUGUAGCGGUAAAAUGCGUAGAUAUCACGAAGAACCCCGAUUGCGAAGGCAGCUUACUAAACUGUGACUGACAUUGAUGCUCGAAAGUGUGGGUAUCAAACAGGAUUAGAUACCCCAGUAGUC